GGAAGACUAUCACAUGUGAGCUGGAAGACUGCCAACAUGGAGACACGGAGAGAGCAAGGCCAGAACAACUAAGAUGCCUAAAUGGUUUGAACCCCAAACCUGUCAUAAGAAGUACAGAAUUCUCUGAUGCUUAUCUCAGAAAGAAGAGUCCGCCGCACUGCGCCCCUCCCCCUGCUACCCCCAAGGACAAGAGCCAUAAGAGCUUCCUGGAUCCACCAUUUUGAGGAGGACUACUACUGAAACUGCAGAAGAUGCUUCACAACACACACACACACACACACCACAAAACAAAACGAAAAACAAAAAACCCCGGCCUGCCAUGCCUUCACAUGUCUAAUGAGCACAAAGUGUUCCCAAAACUGAACCAUGCCCACAUAUUUCUUUAUUUAUAACUGGAAUGCAACCUGUAAUGUACAAAUUAUAGGGUAAAAGGCA